AUCCUUUUGUAGCUCAUAAGCAUGACAAUAGGGUAUUCACGCCGUAGUAUGACAUAUGCCUCACUCAAGCCUUGUUACAACCUCUGCACAUUACCCAUACAAUG
ensembl:snoRNA